AACUUCGGACGCCUUCAAUUUAUGUGUAGAAGACCAAGUCCCGAAGCCUUCAUUGCAGUUUAAAUGUUCGGAAAGCGCUGUCACAUUCACCUGCAACGUCAAGGAACCAAAUGGUAUCAAAUAUUCAUGGCUUUUGGAUGAAAAGCCGACCAAAGGGAGCAUUAAAACUCUGAAAAUAAAACCUGAAGAGGAAGGUUCAGUCCGA